UACGUAGGGGGCGAGCGUUGUCCGGAAUCAUGGGGCGUAAAGCGCGUGUAGGCGGCCCGGUAAGUCCGCUGUGAAAGUCCAGGGCUCAACCCUGGGAUGCCGGUGGAUACUGUCGGGCUAGAGUCCGGAAGAGGAGUGUGGAAUUCCUGGUGUAGCGGUGAAAUGCGCAGAUAUCAGGAGGAACACCAAUGGCGAAGGCAGCACUCUGGGACGUGACUGACGCUGAGACGCGAAAGCGUGGGGAGCAAACAGG
rnacentral:rRNA from 1 species